CAACUCUCAGUCUUCCUGCAAGUCCUCGCCUGAUACUGCCUGUUUCAGGUGCAACAGGGCAAGUCACAAUUAGAGGUUGGAUGAUCACCUUUGAGGGCCGUGUAAUCUCUGAGGGCAUCACACCAACAUUUGCAACGGGACUUGCUGCUGUGUUUGCAAUCUACUACAUAUUCAACCUUCAGUAUCAAGAUGAGCCAGCCUGCACUCUGGAAUUCAUUCAGAGGCGCUUCAUUGGUAUAAAUCCAGAGA